rnacentral:rRNA from 1 species
AUACAGAGACCUCAAGCGUUACCCGGAAUUAUUGGGCGUAAAGCGUCCGCAGGCGGUGGGUUAAGUCAGGCAUUAAAUUCCGAAGCUUAACUUCGGAGCUGUGUUUGAAACUAAUCCACUAGAGACAAGGAGAGGCACACGGAAUUCCCGGUGUAGGGGUUACAUCCGUUAAUAUCGGGGAGAACACCAUUUGCGAAGGCGGUGUGCUAGACUUGUUCUGACGCUCAGGGACGAAAGCGUGGGUAGCGAAUGGAAUUAGAUACUCCAGUAGUCCACGCCCUAAACUUUGAAUACUUGACUUGAGGAGUUCGACCCUCCUUGAGCCUGAAGCUAACGCUUUAAGUAUUCCGCCUGGGAAGUACGGCCGCAAGGCUAAA